UAAUAAAGCUAUUUGCUGCUUCUAAACAAUUUUUUUAUUGGUUUUAGCCUCUUUUAAGAGAA
rnacentral:sRNA from 1 species